rnacentral:rRNA from 1 species
ACUCCUACGGGAGGCAGCAGUGGGGAAUAUUGCACAAUGGGCGCAAGCCUGAUGCAGCCAUGCCGCGUGUGUGAAGAAGGCCUUCGGGUUGUAAAGCACUUUCAGUUGUGAGGAAGGUGGUGUCGUUAAUAGCGGCAUCAUUUGACGUUAGCAACAGAAGAAGCACCGGCUAACUCCGUGCCAGCAGCCGCGGUAAUACGGAGGGUGCGAGCGUUAAUCGGAAUUACUGGGCGUAAAGCGCACGCAGGCGGCUUUGUUAAGCUAGAGGUGAAAGCCCCGGCGCUCAACGUGGGAACUGCCUUUAGAACUGGCAGGCUAGAGGUCUUGGAGAGGGGAGUGGAAUUCCAGGUGUAGCGGUGAAAUGCGUAGAUAUCUGGAGGAACAUCAGUCGGCGAAGGCGGCUCCCUGGCCAAAGACUGACGCUCAUGUGCGAAAGUGUGGGGUAGCGAACAGGAUUAGAUACCCUGGUAGCUACGA